GUUCGGAAACGGACGCUAAUACCGCAUACGUCCUACGGGAGAAAGCAGGGGACCUUCGGGCCUUGCGCUAUCAGAUGAGCCUAGGUCGGAUUAGCUAGUUGGUGGGGUAAUGGCUCACCAAGGCGACGAUCCGUAACUGGUCUGAGAGGAUGAUCAGUCACACUGGAACUGAGACACGGUCCAGACUCCUACGGGAGGCAGCAGUGGGGAAUAUUGGACAAUGGGCGAAAGCCUGAUCCAGCCAUGCCGCGUGUGUGAAGAAGGUCUUCGGAUUGUAAAGCACUUUAAGUUGGGAGGAAGGGCAGUUGCCUAAUACGUAACUGUUUUGACGUUACCGACAGAAUAAGCACCGGCUAACUCUGUGC
rnacentral:rRNA from 1 species